GCCUUGGGUGCUGCCUGGGUGGAUUUUGCACGUCCUUCCUGUGACCGCGUGGGUUUCCUCCGGGUGCUCCGGUUUCUUCCCACAUCCCAAAGACGUGCCGGUUUAUAGCUUAAGCGGCCCUCUGUAAAAUACGGAGUGGAUGGGAAAGUGGGACAACAUAGAACUAGUGA